CCCACUUACAUAGGAGGAGCAGGCGCGCAAUUACCCAAUCCUGACUCAGGGAGGUAGUGACAAGAAAUAACAAUAAACCGGCUUAUGCCGGUUUAAUUGGAAUGAGUACAAUUUAAACAUCUUAACGAGGAACAAUUGGAGGGCAAGUCUGGUGCCAGCAGCCGCGGUAAUUCCAGCUCCAAUAGCGUAUACUAAAGUUGUUGCAGUUAAAAAGCUCGUAGUUGGAUUUCUGUGGGGACGGAGCGGCCGGCCGCACAUCGCGGUUCGAGCUAGCGCUUUCCCUACAUCCUGCCGCGAACCGUGCUACCAUUAGUUUGGUGGCGCCGGGGAUCGGCUCGAUUACUUUGAGAAAAAUAGAGUGUUCAAAGCAGGCCACAUGCCUUGAAUAAGUUAGCAUGGAAUAAUAACUAAGGACUUCGGUUCUAUUUUGUUGGUGUUCGGGACUGAAGUAAUGAUUGAUAGGGACAGUUGGGGCGGUCUGUAUUCCAAAGCGAGAGGUGAAAUUCUUAGACCUUCGGAAGACAAACAGCUGCGAAAGCGUUCCGCAAGGAUGUUCCCUUUGAUCAAGAACGAAAGUUGGGGGAUCGAAGACGAUCAGAUACCGUCGUAGUCUCAACUAUAAACUAUACCAGCUAGGGAUCGGCCAACGUUAUUUUAUACCGACUUGGUCGGCACCUUAUGAGAAAUCAAAGCAUCUGGGUUCCGGGGGGAGUAUGGUCGCAAGGCUGAAACUUAAAGGAAUUGACGGAAGGGCACCACCAGCCGUGGAGCCUGUGGCUUAAUUUGACUCAACACGGGAAAACUUACCAGGUCCAGACAUAGUAAGGAUUGACAGAUUGAUAGCUCUUUCUUGAUUCUGUGGGUGGUGGUGCAUGGCCGUUCUUAGUUGGUGGAGUGAUUUGUCUGGUUAAUUCCGUUAACGAACGAGACCCCAGCCUGCUAAAUAGCGCGCGUGAGCUUUGCUCGCGGCGAGCUUCUUAGAGGGACUAUGAUGCGCGAUAGCACAUGGAAGUUUGGGGCAAUAACAGGUCUGUGAUGCCCUUAGAUGUUCUGGGCCGCACACGGGCUACACUGGCGCCUGCAACGAGCAUAUCAGCUGGCCCGAGAGGGUCUUGGCUAAUCUUUUGAACCGGCGCCGUGCUUGGGAUUGACCUUUGCAAUUGUUGGUCAUGCAACGAGGAAUGCCUUGUAAACGCGAGUCAUCAGCUCGCAUUGAAUACGUCCCUGCCCUUUGUACACACCGCCCGUCGCUCCUACCGAUGAAUGUUCCGAUGAAAUUUUCGGAGAGCACCUGUGAACUUGGCUCUGCCUUGCGAACGGGAGGCUCAAAGUCACNUAAAUCUGAACCUUAGA
rnacentral:rRNA from 1 species